rnacentral:rRNA from 1 species
UACGUAGGGGGCGAGCGUUGUCCGGAAUCACUGGGUGUAAAGGGUCUGCAAGCGGACUGGCAAGUCAGAGGUGAAAUCCUUCAGCUCAACUGUAGAACUGCCUUUGAAACUGCUGGUCUUGAGUCCGGGAGAGGAUGGCGGAAUUCCUGGUGUAGCGGUGAAAUGCGUAGAUAUCAGGAAGAACACCGGUGGUGAAGGCGGCCAUCUGGACCGGUACUGACGCUCGGAGACGAAAGCGUGGGGAGCAAACAGG